ACUGGUUUCCUCUGGUGCAUAGA
rnacentral:miRNA from 1 species